GGGUAUGUUUCCUGGUAGUUCAUCAAAUAAUGGGCAGAGCCAGACAUAUAGUGAAAGAACCUAGUGGGGAAACCCCCACUCAAUUCCCGAUUCAGCGUGCACCCAAGAAUUGCAAACAGAACA
rnacentral:pre_miRNA from 7 species